CCUACGGGAGGCAGCAGUGGGGGAUAUUGCACAAUGGGGGGAACCCUGAUGCAGCGACGCCGCGUGGGUGAAGGAGUGCUUCGGCAUGUAAAGCCCUAUCGGCAGGGAAGAAGCAAGACGGUACCUGCAAAGUAAGCACCGGCUAACUCCGUGCCAGCAGCCGCGGUAAUACGGAGGGUCCGAGCGUUAAUCGGAAUUACUGGGCGUAAAGCGCUCGUAGGCGGUAUGUCAAGUCAAGGGUGAAAUACCCGGGCUCAACGGUGGAACUGCCUUUGAAACUGGCAAACUGGAGUGUGUGAGAGGAUAGUGGAAUUCCAGGUGUAGGAGUGAAAUCCGUAGAUAUCUGGAGGAACCUCAGUGGCGAAGGCGACUAUCUGGCACAUAACUGACGCUGAGGAGCGAAAGCGUGGGUAGCAAACAGGAUUAGAUACCCCUGUAGUC
rnacentral:rRNA from 1 species